UGGCGUACAUUUUGAGAAAUGCUUGGAUUGCCUUCGGGAAUCUGAACAGGUGCUGCAUGGCUGUCGUCAGCUCGUGUCGUGAGAUGUUGGGUUAAGUCCCGCAACGAGCGCAACCCUUGCCCUUAGUUGCCAUCAUUCAAUUGGGGACUCUCAAGGGACACCGCGUGACAUACCCGAGAAAGGUGGGGAUGACAUCUCGUCUUCUUGGGCCUUUUAUCCAGGGGUACACACAUACUACAAUGGGCGGGACACAGGGUUGCCAACCCCCGAGGGGGAGAUAAUCCCCAAAAAACCAUCUCAUUCCCGAUUGUAGUCUCCGACACUCCUCCCUGAAAUCUGAAAAUCUAUUAAACUCGGAAAACAAAUUGUCGCGGUGAAUACUUUCCCGGGUCUUGUACACACCGAAA
rnacentral:rRNA from 1 species